rnacentral:rRNA from 1 species
AUGUUGGGUUAAGUCCCGCAACGAGCGCAACCCUUGUCAUUAGUUGCUACGAAAGGGCACUCUAAUGAGACUGCCGGUGACAAACCGGAGGAAGGUGGGGAUGACGUCAAGUCCUCAUGGCCCUUAUGGUAGGGCUUCACACGUCAUACAAUGGUCGGUACAGAGGGUUGCCAACCCGCGAGGGGGAGCUAAUCCCACAAAGCCGAUCGUAGUCCGGAUCGCAGUCUGCAACUCGACUGCGUGAAGUCGGAAUCGCUAGUAAUCGUGGAUCAGCAUGUCACGGUGAAUACGUUCCCGGGUCUU